rnacentral:rRNA from 1 species
CCUUACGCAAGGGAUCGUUUGGUUCUAUGUACGAUGAAGGUCGGAGCUGUAUUCGAUAAAAUGAGAUGAUUGUAUAAAUUGUCUUAUAUUACUGAAUAGAGUAGCGAUGCUCGAAUACUCCUUGAA